rnacentral:rRNA from 1 species
GGAGUAUGGGCCGUGUCUCAGUCCCAUUGUGGCUGAUCAUCCUCUCAAACCAGCUACUGAUCGUCGCCUUGGUGGUCCAUUACACCGCCAACUAGCUAAUCAGAUGCAGGCUCAUCCUAGAGCACCGGAGUUUUCAAGAUUAGUAUUUCAACUAAGCUCAUAUGGGGUAUUAGCAGAAGUUUCCCUCUGUUGUCCCCCUCUCUAGGGCAGAUUUCCUACAUAUUACUCACCCGUCCGCCACUUUCCACUGACCGAAGUCAGCUUCUCGUUCGACUUGCAUGUAUGAAGCACGCCGCCAGCGUUCGUCCUCGAGCCACUGAUCAAACUACU